rnacentral:lncRNA from 1 species
GAGUGACAGGCUUUAAGGGUGAUCUUCCAAAACAAAUGUGACUCAUAACCAUUAGUGCAGCACAUGCUAACAACUCAUGUCCUAAUCAGCCUCUGAGUACUCCCUGGAACAUGGAAUUGGUCAAAUUGUAGAAGAGGUUUAAAGAAGAAAAUGCUGCAACGUUUCAUGUAAAUAUGGCUCCAUCAAGCAUGACAGCUUUUAUGUGGAAUUUCCUUGGUAAUGAGUAUUUAAUGUAGAAUACCCUGGAACAAGGUUGGGAAAUUCUGGCUUCAUGUGUGGUUUCACUCCCACACCCAGGACCCGUGUCUCUCUGUCGGCUGCCCUCAGGCUGCUGGAGCCAGCUUUACCUGCACUUGGACAACUGAUAGUGUGUAGAAAUUUGCAUCCUCGUGAGGAUGCAAAUUUAACCUUAACCACCAACUGAGGAUAAUCUGGACAACUCAAAAUCUGCUGAGACAGAUACUUCUACCCACCCACACCACUGUUGGAUUCUACUUGAUAUUCUUCUUGAAAGACUUUUUAUGUGUCAUUAUCUACAUUGGCACCAUCUAGAUUAAUCCAGCUUGCUGUGACCUGCUGAACUCCAACAUCAAAUAAAUUCUGCAAUAUCAGGAGGACAAGGGGACAGAGGAUUGCUGAUGUACAUGGACGCAGGCCAUUGCACUAGAACACACCAUAAGAUUUCUUCUUGCCUCUGGAUUAUGGUGAAGACAGCAGCAAUCAAAAGCUCUGUGGCUUUUUUCCCCACCUUCACUGUGAAUGGAAAGCCUUGAAGUGUUCAUUCUUGAACACAUUUAACAGAUGCAUUCAUUACUGUUUACUAACUGAAACCAUGACUCUAAUACUUGUGUGAAAUAUAUCUGACAUGUCUUGACAUCCUCUCAGAGCUCUGUGGAACCUCAACUGUGGUGGAAUAGAGUUUAUUUUAAAAAAUAAAUUGUUGCUGUCUGAUAGCAAUGAGAACAGGGGUGUCUUUCCUUUCAAGUAAGUGUUUUGUCAGUGUGCAUAGGUUUAUGAAAAAUGUUCAAAAUAUACAGAAAAAAUUAUUUUGGGGCUCUUGGUUCCCUUAGGAUGUGGCAUCUCAUUCCUAAGUCUCUUACUUUGAAUGGUACAGAAU